GACGAACGCUGGCGGCGUGCCUAAUACAUGCAAGUCGAGCGGACCAAAGGGAGCUUGCUCCUGGAGGUCAGCGGCGAACGGGUGAGUAACACGUGGGCAACCUGCCUGUAAGACUGGGAUAACAUCGAGAAAUCGGUGCUAAUACCGGAUAAUAAAAAGAACUGCAUGGUUCUUUUUUGAAAGAUGGUUUCGGCUAUCACUUACAGAUGGGCCCGCGGCGCAUUAGCUAGUUGGUGAGGUAACGGCUCACCAAGGCAACGAUGCGUAGCCGACCUGAGAGGGUGAUCGGCCACACUGGGACUGAGACACGGCCCAGACUCCUACGGGAGGCAGCAGUAGGGAAUCUUCCGCAAUGGACGAAAGUCUGACGGAGCAACGCCGCGUGAGUGAUGAAGGUUUUCGGAUCGUAAAACUCUGUUGUUAGGGAAGAACAAGUGCCGUUCGAAAGGGCGGCACCUUGACGGUACCUAACGAGAAAGCCACGGCUAACUACGUGCCAGCA
rnacentral:rRNA from 1 species